rnacentral:rRNA from 1 species
GACGAACGCUGGCGGCGUGCUUAACACAUGCAAGUCGAACGGAAAGGCCCUGCUUUUGUGGGGUGCUCGAGUGGCGAACGGGUGAGUAACACGUGAGUAACCUGCCCUUGACUUUGGGAUAACUUCAGGAAACUGGGGCUAAUACCGGAUAGGAGCUCCUGCUGCAUGGUGGGGGUUGGAAAGUUUCGGCGGUUGGGGCUGGACUCGCGGCUUAUCAGCUUGUUGGUGGGGUAGUGGCUUACCAAGGCUUUGACGGGUAGCCGGCCUGAGAGGGUGACCGGCCACAUUGGGACUGAGAUACGGCGCAGACUCCUACGGGAGGCAGCAGUGGGGAAUAUUGCACAAUGGGCGGAAGCCUGAUGCAGCAACGCCGCGUGCGUGAUGACGGCCUUCGGGUUAUAAACCGCUUUCGCCUGUGACGAAGCGUGAGUGACGGUAAUGGGUAAAGAAGCACCGGCUAACUACGUG